UACGGAGGGGCGAGCGUUAUUCGGAAUUAUUGGGCGUAAAGGGCGCGUAGGCGGCUUGUACAAGUCAAAGGUGAAAUCCCUCGGCUCAACUGAGGAACUGCCUUUGAAAACUGUACGCUUGAGGCCGGGAGGGGGUAGCGGAAUUCCCAGUGUAGCGGUGAAAAUGCGUAGAUACUGGGAGGAACACCAGUGGCGAAGGCCGCUACCUGGCCGGUUU
rnacentral:rRNA from 1 species